UGGGGCCCGUUGUGGGGCUCCUGGCACAAAGGGUUCAACAAGGGAGCCAUCCUGAGAUGUGCGUGUGAGCAGGGAACUAAGAGUUUUGUGGCCAAUGCUAUGUGGGAGCCUGCCACACUGCUCGAGUCAUGGUAAGUGGACAGCGAUCCUUUCCUUUUUUUCUGGCAUGGGUCAGGCAUUAAGUGAUCAUAAAUGCUUUGUGUCAGGUUUAAGUAAAGCUUUAAAGACAAGAGGGACAAAGGCUAAAGAAAAAGAUUUAUUGCAGUACUUUCAAUUUAUUCAUAAGGUUUGUCCUU
rfam:Cavia porcellus supercont2_15 genomic scaffold, whole genome shotgun sequence.